rnacentral:rRNA from 1 species
UAAUACGUAGGGGGCGAGCGUUGUCCGGAAUGACUGGGCGUAAAGGGCGUGUAGGCGGUCUGAUAAGUCUGGAGUGAAAGUCCUGCAUUUAAUGUGGGAAUUGCUUUGGAUACUGGCGGGCUUGAGUGCGGAAGAGGUAAGUGGAAUUCCCAGUGUAGCGGUGAAAUGCGUAGAGAUUGGGAGGAACACCAGUGGCGAAGGCGACUUACUGGGCCGUAACUGACGCUGAGGCGCGAAAGCGUGGGGAGCGAACAGGAUUAGAUACCCUGGUAGUCCACGCGGUAAACGAUGAAUGCUAGGUGUAGGGGGUAUCGACCCCUCCUGUGCCGGAGUAAACGCAAUAAGCAUUCCGCCUGGGGAGUACGGCCGCAAGGUUGAAACUCAAAGGAAUUGACGGGGGCCCGCACAAGCAGCGGAGCAUGUGGUUUAAUUCGACGCAACGCGAAGAACCUUACCAGGUCUUGACAUCGAUGUAAAGCCCAAGAGAUUGGGUGACUCUUCGGAGGACAGAAGACAGGUGGUGCAUGGUUGUCGUCAGCUCGUGUCGUGAGAUGUUGGGUUAAGUCCCGCAACGAGCGCAACCCUUAUGAUCAGUUACUAACC